rnacentral:rRNA from 1 species
ACACGACUACAUUAGAUACCCGCGUAGUCCUAGCCGUAAACGAUACUCGCUAGGUGUCGGCCACGGUGCGACCGUUGUCGGUGCCGUAGGGAAGCCGUGAAGCGAGCCACCUGGGAAGUACGGCCGCAAGGCUGAAACUUAAAGGAAUUGCGGGGAGCACAACAACGGGUGGAGCUUGCGGUUUAAUUGGAUUCAACGCCGGAAAUCUUACCGGGACCGACAGCAACAUGAAGGCCAAGCUGAAGACUUUGCCGGAUUAGCUG